AGGAUGGCAUCUUGAGAGAACUACGUGCAAUGCGCAGAGAGAUGCGGUUCAUGAAAGGUGAACAACGUCGGACCAAUGCUAGGAUGAUUUCGAUGGCACAUGACCUUGAAGAACUCAAGGAACAUUUUCUGUAGGAGUAUGGGCUGAAGUAAUUACUUCCACCAUAGAUGCAGCUUCUGCAAACUGUUAAGAAACUUUGAGUGCAUUUGUUUCUCCAUGGAUGUUCAUUCAUGUUUAGUAAACUACUUGCUGCAUAAACUGUCCACUGAUGCUGCAUUUUAGCGUGAACCUGAAAAUUCAGAAUCAAUAUUCUAUGACUCAAUGAUGCCAAGCAUAUAUUUCUGUGGCCCUAUGAAUCCUGCUUUGCUAGAGAGAGAUCAGAGAAGGUAUAAAGAGCAAGGUACUGUAAAUGUCUCUUUUUGAUUACAAUUCCAAGAAUCCCAAUGGAUUGCAGUUUGCUGUAGCCAUGCUGACUGAGAAAUUCUGGGAGCUUACUGUUUCAAGUCCUAUUCAAAAGUCACUAUUUCAAACUAUUUUAUGAAAAAUUUGCACACAUCCACUAGGUCAGUGGUUCUCAACCUGGGGGCCGUGUACCUAGAGGGGUCGAUUGUGGUUUGAGAGGGGUUGUGUCACCACGCCCUUUGGCCUGCCUCCUCUGCCUCCCCAGAAUGGCUGCUGGGUCCCCUCUGCCAACCAAACAGCCAGAUAGCAUCCAUGUCCACAGUGCUUCAUCUCUUUCUUUAUCUUUCCUCCUCCAGGUCGGCACGGAGGGGCUCCUCCUCCUUUUUCUCCAGUGGGAUGGCGAGGAGUCAUGGGAGGUGCUUGGAGAUAGAGGUGCACAUGGUGGGAGGAGGCAGGUCUCCCCUCUCCUCCCCCUUUUCUUCUCUUUCCCUUUUUCUUUUUCUUACCUCUUCCAGGUUGGCACGAAGGGGCUCCUCUUCCUCUAGUGGGAUGGUGAGGAGUCACAGGAGGUGCUUGGAGGCAGAGGUGCAUGCGGCGGGAGGAGGUGCACCCUCUUUCCCCCCUCUAUCCCUCCCUUUUCUAUUGAUAAUUCUUACUCUUCUCUUUACUCCUCUGUCUUCCUCCCUUUCACACCUCCCUUUCUUUCUAUCCCUCCCUUUUCUCUUUCUGUCACUAUCCCUUUCCUUUUCCUUCUCUCUUGCUUUAUAUCUUUCUUCCCUUUCUCUUUCUCUCUUGUGCCUCUUUCUCCCUUCCCUUUCUUAUUUCUUUCCUCCUCUUUCUUCCUUCUCUUUCUCUCUCUUGUGCCUCUCUUUUUAUCUUUCCUUCUGGAGCCGCCCAACAUAG
rnacentral:lncRNA from 1 species